GAGGAGGUGGCACUUCAACUGGGCUUUUGUGCAUUCUGCCCAACUUUUAUUUAUUUAUUUUUUCUUCCCAAGUUUUAGAGGUGGAGCUUUCGGAGGUGCUUGGGUCGCCGAGGUGGAGCCUUCAUGAAGAGACCCCACAGAGAUUCCCAGCUCUUUCCUCUAAGCGAGGAUACCCCAACUUUGAAUCAGAAGAGAUUCUAGAACAUGACCAUGCUGGUGCCUUGCUCUUGAACUUCCCAGCUUCCAGAAUUGAGAUUAUUUCAUCAGGACUUUGCUGAUACCACAGUCUUUGGCAUGACUUACCAGCUCAUUGCUGAUCCCAGGAAAAGACUGAGUGCCUACAAAUGAAAGAGGAGGCAAAGAGGAAGAAAGAGGGCUGAGUCCACAUGCCUACCCAGCUGCAUAAAAUAACAAAGAAAGAGAACAACCCUGCCCUGGUUCCAGACUCCAACCACUCAAAUUAGCAAGUCCUCUUCCCUUGGGUUGGGGUCAGGAGGCUAAGAAGAGCAGGUCUUGGCUCCGUGGCUCCUGGUUUCUAGACACAUGGCCGACCAUUCACUGGUUAUAAGAGGCAGCCCGACCAGCACC